rnacentral:lncRNA from 1 species
AAAAGUCGAUCUUCAAAAAGUCGAUCCCUAGUGCACUUGGAGGAUUCCUUGGAAGUCGAUGCCUGAAAGCCUAGCUCCUUGAGGGAUCAACUUUUUUUCUUGGGAGAAAAAGUCGAUCUUCUGAAAUGUUGAUCCCUUGCUGGCUGAUUUCCUCGCAAGACUCCCUAGCUGGCGACUUGGAAAAAAGUCGAUCACUUUUUUCGAAAAAGUCGAGGAGCUUUUGUCGUGAGUAUCUUUGAGUCACAGACGGCGCCAACUGAUGGGGGUGAAACCCGACCAGUACUCCAAGACG